rnacentral:antisense_RNA from 1 species
AAUGUAGUCUCCUUGGCCUGCGCUCUGUAGGAGUGGUAGAACAGUAAGAGAAAUGACAAAGCAAGAGGAACCUAAUACUCUUCCUCAUUGGCCCUCCUGUCUCCAUCUUUAUUCCUUCCAGCUCAUUCUCUACAUGACACUGUGAAUGCCAAACUGUCUGGAGGCUGCCAUGAGCGGCCAAUUUGUGAUCUCUGCUUUACCUGAAUUAUUUCCGUGAAUUGUGACAUCAACCUUGCCAGAUGAGAAAGAAGACUGAAGUUCAGAGAGGUGAAGAGACUGGCUCAGGGGCUACCCCUAUGGUUGGGGGAGCUAAGAUUCCAGCCCAGCAGCACGAUCCAGAGCCCAUCUGAGCUACCCAGAUCUUCCUGCUGUUAAACCUGUCCUGGGGCAGCUCUUGCCUGAUGGGCUACCUGAGAAACCCACAGGAAAUCAAGGGAGGUGCCUGCAAAGUUGCUGUGGGGUCACAGCCUGCCCUUUGGAAGGGGCUAUUUCUGGGCUGCUGUGACUUCCUGCCAUUAUUUCCUUUCUGUUCUCCCUCUGGAAUGAAUAAAGUACUUCUGAAAAAACAUCAACCCAGUUGAUACGGAAAUGCUGGUCCCUGCAAUAGAAUGCUCUGUGGUCAUUAAAAAGAUUAAAAAGGUC